CUCUAAACAGCUGUUGGACAUGUUUUGACAUGUGUGGGCGUGGCUUCAUUCUCCAACGUCAGAUUUAGUGACGGUAUUUAAAAUCUGCGUGAAAAACGAAAGUACUUUCUAAAUCAGCGAUGGCGACUGCUUGCAGUUCUUUUGAUGAAGAUUCAAAUGGGAGUGAUGAACUGUCCUUCAGUGACCAGCACUCAAGUGACAGUGAUGCCAGCACUCAGGGUCAAAACACAGAACCCUGCAAAUAUUACAAUAAAGGCCACUGCAAGAAUGGGAAAGCCUGCUCUUACUUGCAUAUCUGCAAGUAUUUUGUGAAAGGAAA